UCUCAAGGAAAGAAGAUAGAAGAUGAGUUUAUUAACAUGGGCAAGGGGUACCUAGAGCCUUGUUCUGAGGAAUGGAGAAACCAUAUGGGAGAAGUUUUCCCCAGACACAUUUUGGCUUGGGCAUAUUGCUCCAGCCUGCCUAUGUCCAGUGGAAGAGAAAAGCCCUGCACCUGAGCACACCAACUUCAUCACCGCAGUUUACUGUCAUCUGCAAAACUGGAAGGGUUGCAAGCUAGUUCCUCCUCCAGCUCACAGAUAGAGAGAUUAAAUAUUACAGGACCCAAGACUAACACCUGAGAGACUCCACUUGUAAUCAAAGUCCAGGGUAGGGCGAGUGAAUGACUCCUGUGGGUGCCUGGCAUUUGUCCAGUGUUGGCCAACACCACCAUGACAGUUGUUGUUGUGAUGAAGCACCCAGAGAUAGCUCCAGUUUCAAGUACAUUAUGUCCACACUAAGAGGGGAUCAAGACAACAGAGUGGAGAAAAAGAGAAGUGGAUUUACCUUUAAAUGACUGACAGUGGAAUCAGUUACAAAGCAGCACAUGCAUCAAAGCCCAGAGAAUAACUGCUUGAAAAUUUUGAAUUCUUCUCCAAAAGAGAUGUUUUCCAGAAAAGAAGUACAGAAAUCUCUUAACAAUUGACAUUUCUUUCAAAUAGCUCUUGGGGCAACUUGCCAUGAUUUUAAUAACUGGUUCUCCCAGACUGAACCAAGGCACCUUCAAGCCCAGCUCAAAACCUCUGAUUAGUGUUACAUUUUCUCCUUCUGUUCUGGCCAGGAUGGAGAUAACUCGCUGCAUCCUCCUGCCAGUGGCAAAUUCCAUGCUCUCUAGCAGAAAGAGCAAACAAAGAUUGUGGCAAGGGCAAGAGGGCAGGGCAGAUAACUGUAACUAGGGCAGCUGCCACACCUCAGCCUGCCUGUAACUCUGGAUCUGAGCUGCUGUGUUCCUGAGCGAUGCUGGAGGCACUGACAGUCCAUUUUCCCUCGGGCUCACUGGUACUCUGGGAUAGCUGUGGGUGGGAAACCUAAAAGAUCACUUAAAUUUUUAAUUAGGCUUGAACAGGUGUCAAUACCUUAAAAGAGGAAAAGGAUUAAAAGUUCUAGUGUAUAAGAGCCAAAGGAUAUGUUCGUUGCCAGGGUUAAACAAGAAUGUGAAGGAAGAUUUGUGCCUGGAACAGGUACUUGCAUGGAUCUGACAGUGGAGAAGAAGGAGGUUGUCACAGAGGAACUUCAUUCAGUCCCUGCCCAAACCCCAGGCUCUGCUUGUACAUAAGUGGGGCUUGUGGUAUCACAUCAUCAACGCUGGCUGGGCAGCCCAAACAAGGCCUCUGCUCAACAUCCCAGGGAGCUGCUUCAGAAGCUACCAACAGCACCAGUUUUAUUUAUUUCCAGCCAUACUUCCAAAUUCUUCCUGGAGUCUUACAGAGAGCAAGCCCUUCUCAAAAAAGCUUACAAACCAAUACCAAACAGAAAACUACUCACUUCAGCAGCUCAGCUGAAGGCCCAAGGACAGGACUGAUGAGUUCAAAGAACAGUACUGGAGAUGUUUCUCAAACUUCAAGCCUUUACCUUGGACGGUCCUAAUUUUAUUGUAUCGCUUUUGUGCUGCAUUCUGGACCCUCCUGCUGUCUGCUCCUCUGCAUCAGCUUAUCUUGUCUGUUUGAGAACCAUCAUAUUAUGUUUAAUAGAGUUUUUACUUUGGAAGGAACUACUGCUGGUAAAGAGGACUGCUGCCUGCUGAACA